rnacentral:SRP_RNA from 1 species
CAUCUCGCCGGUAGUUCGGGGUGAGGGCAACCGAGUAGCGUUGAUUGUUGGGUCCUGUGCGGCAGGAGCCUGCGAACCAGGUCAGAUCCGGGAGGAAGCAGCCUUAAGCGGCCCCUCCUGAGCGACGCGGGGCUGCCUGGCAGGAGCUGCUCGGUUGCCGUCGCCCUGAGCGCCGGCCAAUUG